AAUUUGCUGAAGUAGACCGUAAUCCUAGUGAUUCUUUUGACUGAUCUCGGAACCAAGAGACCCCUACUGGGGGGUCUAAAUCUUCAUAUGGAACCGUGACUCGUGGAUUCGGCAUGGACGGUUUGUGGACAGCGGUAUCCUCAAGAAAUGAACGUGCUCGAGUUAAACAUCAACAGAAAGGAAAAGGGAAAGUAAUCGGUGACUGACUCAUUUGUUUCCACUUAAUUUUAAGACUGCUGCGUUUCGUUGGUGAUUGUGAUGUGCCACUCAUAGCUUUAUAGAUGGAGUCCCUUCCCUCAAUGAUUGGAGUUUUAAUUCAAAAUCAUUGGUUCUACCCAGAAAAUGCUUCUUCUCCACUUAGAUGAAGAUGAGGAAGCGCUAUUGCCAGCCCUGGUCCCCCUCCCCAGGAGGAGAAAGUAUGACAAUCUUUGGCUGCCAUUCAAUUGGAUUAAUCUGAUCUGUGCCCUCACAUUUAUAGUGUGGUCAUGGAAUGACCAAAGAGGGGAGAUGAUGAUCUAAAAUCUAGAUUUAAGCUGUUGUCAGGAGUAACAAAUCUAUGCAAGCUUUUAUUAAUAACAAAAUGGAUUUUUAAUAUAAAAUAACAAAAAUGGCUUCAGGAUUGAUAUCGUGCUAAAAUGGUUGAAAGCUGCAUUCCUGCUUUGCUGAGCUGGCUGAAUUAAAAGAUAAAGCAGACAAUGAAGUCUUCAUAAAAUGAAUCAUAAAACAUUAAGUGACCACCCUGACUAACCUUGAACCACAAGCAUGAGACAUAAUGUGCAUAAGACAAUACUGUUUCUCAGGAAAUAUCAUUUGGAUUAACCUGCUGUCCAUUAUGUCACCUUUUAUAUUUAAUUGGUUUUCCUUUGUAAUUGAGGUUAUACUGUUUCUUAAGAACAUAUAAAAAUGGCUUAUUGUUCAAAUUCAAUUGUGCAGUUUCUCCAAAGAACACAGAAACUGUUAACCUCUGUGUUGCUGGACAAACCUGUGCUCGACGUUGUA